rnacentral:rRNA from 1 species
GGCUCAGAACGAACGCUGGCGGCGUGCUUAACACAUGCAAGUCGCGUGCGCAGUUCCUGUAGCAAUACAGGGGAUGGGCGCACGGCGCACGGGUGCGUAACACGUGGGCAAUCUGCCCUCCGAUGGGGAAUAACCCCGCGAAAGCGGGGCUAAUACCGCAUAACAUUCCUUGAGCGAUGGUUUGAGGAUUCAAAGCAGUAAUGCGUCGGAGGAGGAGCCCGCGCCCGAUUAGCUAGUUGGUGAGGUAACGGCUCACCAAGGCAAUGAUCGGUAGCUGGUCUGAGAGGAUGAUCAGCCACACUGGAACUGAGACACGGUCCAGACUCCUACGGGAGGCAGCAGUGGGGAAUCUUGCACAAUGGGCGAAAGCCUGAUGCAGCCGACGCCGCGUGGGGGAUGAAGCUUCUCGGAGUGUAAACCCCUUUCGCCUGGGACGAAUGCCCGCAAGGGAGUGACGGUACCAGGAUAAGAAGCCCCGGCUAACUACGUGCCAGCAGCCGC